GUCCCGUUCGUCUAGAGGCCUAGGACACCGCCCUUUCACGGCGGCGACACGAGUUCGAAUCUCGUACGGGAUGCCA
rnacentral:tRNA from 1 species